UACGGGGGGGGGCAAGCGUUGUUCGGAAUUACUGGGCGUAAAGGGCUCGUAGGCGGCCAACUAAGUCAGACGUGAAAUCCCCUCGGCUUAACCGGGGAACUGCGUCCGAUACUGGAUGGCUUGAGUUUGGGAGAGGGAUGCGGAAUUCCAGGUGUAGCGGUGAAAUGCGUAGAUAUCUGGAGGAACACCGGUGGCGAAGGCGGCAUCCUGGACCAACACUGACACUGAGGAGCGAAAGCCAGGGGAGCAAACGGG
rnacentral:rRNA from 1 species